GUUCCAGUGGCUCAAUCGGUUAGCGUGCGGUACUUAUAGACAGUGACCAGCAGAGUCAUGCCGAGGUUGUAAGUUUAAGUCUCACCUGGAGCA
rnacentral:tRNA from 1 species